GCUGUGUGUGUGCUGUGUGUGUCAGGGGUGCAGUGUGUGUGUGUGUGAGGGUGCUGUGAGUGUUAGAGGUGCAUUUUGUUUGUGCUGUGUCAGACGUGCAGUGUGUGUGUGAGGGUGCUGUGCGUGUCAGGGGUGCAGUGUGUGUGUGUGUGAGGUUGCUGUGAGUGUCAGGGGAGCAGAAGAUAUAUAACAAAUUACAGCAGCAUACCAGAUAGCCUCUGAAUGCCGUAAGGUGCCAAUAUCUUAUGUGCUCGCAGAAGCCACUUGUAACGUCCUAAGGACAAUUUCAAUAUAGG